AUGUUGUAUUUUACUGCCAUUUUUAAAAAAGUGCUUGAAGAUUGUAAUGAAUUUAUGCAACAUGCAAUGCCACUAGCCUACGGUAGAGGGCAAAGGCACUCAGGCUUCACUGAAAAGCUUGACUGCGGUGCCCCUGCUGCCAGUCCAGCCCUGUCAACGAACCAUCCACACCUGCAGCUCUGCUGGAGCCUCUGCAAGCCACAGGGGCACUGGGAAAAUACCAAGGCAACGUAAAUAGCUUGGUGAGUUUUCCUGUUUAUCCAUGCAUGUGUCCAAUAUACACCAACCUUCACUUUCCUUAGACUGGUCAUCCUACAGACAAGCAGGAUGAACAAAAGAUAUACUCCAUGGGGCGCCUGGGUGGCACAGCGGUUAAGCGUCUGCCUUCGGCUCAGCAUGAUCCCGGCGUUAUGGGAUCGAGCCCCACAUCA
rnacentral:lncRNA from 1 species